UGACCUAAUGACCUCAGUGCUAUCCUAGAU
rnacentral:piRNA from 1 species